rnacentral:rRNA from 1 species
AGUGAACGCUGGCGGUAGGCCUAACACAUGCAAGUCGAACGGCAGCACAGUAAGAGCUUGCUCUUACGGGUGGUGAGUGGCGGACGGGUGAGGAAUACAUCGGAAUCUACUUUUUCGUGGGGGAUAACGUAGGGAAACUUACGCUAAUACCGCAUACGACCUACGGGUGAAAGCAGGGGAUCUUCGGACCUUGCGCGAUUGAAUGAGCCGAUGUCGGAUUAGCUAGUUGGCGGGGUAAAGGCCCACCAAGGCGACGAUCCGUAGCUGGUCUGAGAGGAUGAUCAGCCACACUGGAACUGAGACACGGUCCAGACUCCUACGGGAGGCAGCAGUGGGGAAUAUUGGACAAUGGGCGCAAGCCUGAUCCAGCCAUACCACGUGGGUGAAGAAGGCCUUCGGGUUGUAAAGCCCUUUUGUUGGGAAAGAAAAGCAGCAGGUUAAUACCCCGCUGUUCUGACGGUACCCAAAGAAUAAGCACCGGCUAACUUCGUG